GCCUCGUUAGCUUAGUGGUAGAGUGUGUCUUUCCUAGUCGCGGUUCGCCUGACUACCAGGACAAGGUCGCGGGUUCAACCCCCGCACGAGGUU